UGGUUAAAGAUGAUUUGGCACAACAGGGUUUAAAGUCAAAAGCAGAGUUAACAGACGACCUUUAGAGACUGGAGCUGGGACUUGGUCCUGGGGGAGUGGAGAGAAUGAAGUUUCAAAGUACAAAAUGGCAUGGUUUGCAGGAGCAGGUCGGAUCUGGGUCUGAAGUUUUCAGCUCACGCCCCUCAGUUCUAAACUGCAGCAUCUGACAACUUGUUUGAAGAAGAUUUGGAGAAGAAACAACCUUGGACUGAAUGCACCCUCUCAAAUGCAGCCCUCUCAGCUUCUCCUCUGGCUUCUCUUCCAUCUACUGAACCUACCAAUUAUGUAGUAAUCCUUGUCCAGGACUUUGCAGUAGCCUUUCCCAGUAGCCACCUCCAUCGAGUACUCAAUCAAGAGCAGUAUGCUCAUGAC